rnacentral:rRNA from 1 species
AACAGGAUUAGAUACCCUGGUAGUCCACGCCCUAAACGAUGUCAACUGGUUGUUGGGAGGGUUUCUUCUCAGUAACGUAGCUAACGCGUGAAGUUGACCGCCUGGGGAGUACGGCCGCAAGGUUGAAACUCAAAGGAAUUGACGGGGACCCGCACAAGCGGUGGAUGAUGUGGUUUAAUUCGAUGCAACGCGAAAAACCUUACCUACCCUUGACAUGCCAGGAAUCUUGCAGAGAUGUGAGAGUGCUCGAAAGAGAACCUGGACACAGGUGCUGCAUGGCCGUCGUCAGCUCGUGUCGUGAGAUGUUGGGUUAAGUCCCGCAACGAGCGCAACCCUUGUCAUUAGUUGCUACGAAAGGGCACUCUAAUGAGACUGCCGGUGACAAACCGGAGGAAGGUGGGGAUGACGUCAGGUCAUCAUGGCCCUUAUGGGUAGGGCUACACACGUCAUACAAUGGCCGGGACAGAGGGCUGCCAACCCGCGAGGGGGAGCUAAUCCCAGAAACCCGGUCGUAGUCCGGAUCGCAGUCUGCAACUCGACUGCGUGAAGUCGGAAUCGCUAGUAAUCGCGGAUCAGCUUGCCGCGGUGAAUACGUUCCCGGGUCUUGUACACACCGCCCGUCACACCAUGGGAGCGGGUUCUGCCAGAAGUAGUUAGCCUAACCGCAAGGGGGGCGAUUACCACGGCAGGGUUCGUGACUGGGGUGAAGUCGUAACAAGGUAACC